GCCUAGUUAGCUUAGUUGGUAGUGCGUCGGCCUUGUAAGCGCUAGGCCGCGGGUUCCAUUCCCGCCCGGGGCG
rnacentral:tRNA from 1 species